ACAGCCCUACCCACGACCCGGCACCGCCGGGUUUGUUCACAAAGAGGAACAAGGCGACUGCGCCCUCAGCCCUCAGCUCGGCUGAGCUCACUGGAGGAGUCAGGCAGGUGCCAGAGCUGGUGCGAGGGGAGGGGAACAUAUGGCUGGGAACAGAAGGAAGGUGGGAUUGUGACAAGUGAUGACAAAUUGGUUUGCCUGGGGAGGAGUUGCGCUGUAGCUUCUACCAGCCUUUGAUUUCUGCCGUGACUUGAGCUGUGUGUGAUUUGCUGUGUGGAAAGAAAGCACAUCCCACUCCAAAUGAAACCAGGCAGAGCAAGUCCUUCAAGUAAGCUUUUGUGUCCCAAGAGAAGUACCCAAAAAUAGCGAAUGUUUGAAAUGUUCUUGCUUAAAUUGCUCCACCUUUCUGUCCUUCAUCUGUAAGAUGAAGAUACUAAUAUUAACUUGCCUCAGGAAUCUUGUGAAGAUAAAGCUGCAUUUGUGAAGCACCAGUUACAGGAAGAACAACAUAAAAACCCAAGAGAAAAUCAACCGAAGUAUACUUCUACUCAGCACUGCUUCGGAAUAGUUAUUAAAUAAACCCCAAGGCUUCUCGAUGAAUAAUGAGGUUUAUAGAAACUUUUAAAAAACAAUUCAGGAAGCACAAUUCACCUUGCAAGCAUUAUUCAUUUUUCUACACUGAAAAAGGCUGGGGUCUGUUGGGAAAAUAAAGUAGUUUUGCAAGUGCUGAAAUUAAACCUUUCUAUGGAUUUGUGCCUUAAAGUGCCUUAUUGCAAGCUCCAAUUCAAAGCUGUCUUAUUGCUAUGGAAUUGAGAUGUGCUUUCCCUGUAUAGUUCCUCUGACUGACAGGUAAAGUCAAGGAUAAUCUAGGGAUGCACAGAUAUAUUGAGCUGCUCCAUUGUGACUGGGCAAAGCAGAGUUUGCUGUCAUAGAUUGUCCUGGAAUAAUGCCCAUGAAGUUGCCUGUUUCUCCUUUACCACUCCAGGACUGAUGAACACUUCAUGAUGCUAAACAAGGAUCUUGUGGGAUUUACCAGGAACCUUUAACAUCCUUGUAACACUGACAGAGCUCCUUUCCCUGGCUGUGAGUCUGUAUUAAAAUGUUUCUUCUCUUUCA